rnacentral:rRNA from 1 species
UAGGGAAUCUUCCACAAUGGACGAAAGUCUGAUGGAGCAACGCCGCGUGAGUGAUGAAGGGUUUCGGCUCGUAAAACUCUGUUGUUGGAGAAGAACGGGUGUCAGAGUAACUGUUGACAUCGUGACGGUAUCCAACCAGAAAGCCACGGCUAACUACGUGCCAGCAGCCGCGGUAAUACGUAGGUGGCAAGCGUUGUCCGGAUUUAUUGGGCGUAAAGCGAGCGCAGGCGGUUUUUUAGGUCUGAUGUGAAAGCCUUCGGCUUAACCGGAGAAGUGCAUCGGAAACCGGGAGACUUGAGUGCAGAAGAGGACAGUGGAACUCCAUGUGUAGCGGUGAAAUGCGUAGAUAUAUGGAAGAACACCAGUGGCGAAGGCGGCUGUCUGGUCUGCAACUGACGCUGAGGCUCGAAAGCAUGGGUAGCGAACAGGAUUAGAUACCCUGGUAGUCCAUGCCGUAAACGAUGAGUGCUAGGUGUUGGAGGGUUUUCCGCCCUUGCAGUGCUGCAGCUAA